rnacentral:rRNA from 1 species
GUGAGGAAUAUUGGUCAAUGGACGAGAGUCUGAACCAGCCAAGUCGCGUGAAGGAAGACGGUUCUAUGAAUUGUAAACUUCUUUUGUGUAGGAAUAAAGUGGGUUACGUGUAACCUUUUGUAUGUACUGUACGAAUAAGGAUCGGCUAACUCCGUGCCAGCAGCCGCGGUAAUACGGAGGAUCCGAGCGUUAUCCGGAUUUAUUGGGUUUAAAGGGUGCGUAGGUGGAUUGAUAAGUCAGCGGUGAAAGUUUGCAGCUUAAAUAUAAAAUUGCCGUUGAAACUGUCGGUCUUGAGUGCAAAUGAGGUAGGCGGAAUGUGUUGUGUAGCGGUGAAAUGCUUAGAUAUAACACAGAACUCCGAUUGCGAAGGCAGCUUACUGGGAUGCAACUGACACUGAUGCACGAAAGCGUGGGUAUCAAACAGGAUUAGAAACCCCUGUAGUCC